UACGUAGGGUGCGAGCGUUGUCCGGAAUUAUUGGGCGUAAAGGGCUCGUAGGCGGUUUGUCACGUCGGGAGUGAAAACUCAGGGCUUAACCCUGAGCCUGCUUCCGAUACGGGCAGACUAGAGGUAUGCAGGGGAGAAUGGAAUUCCUGGUGUAGCGGUGAAAUGCGCAGAUAUCAGGAGGAACACCGGUGGCGAAGGCGGUUCUCUGGGCAUUACCUGACGCUGAGGAGCGAAAGUGUGGGAGCGAACAGG
rnacentral:rRNA from 1 species